GAAGCUGCAAUCGCCGCCGAUGUAUUUCUGAAUAGCUACUGGGAGGAGGACAAAUCCCACCAGACUUGGCUCUAAUUGAAGUUAUCAUAAGAGUUUGCAUCGUGGAUGCCGUUGACGGUGGGCAUACAUGCUAUAGUGGAGCUCAUUGCAUCUUUGAGCUUCAUGCUUUGUGUGAACUUGGAACUCGUGCUUUUGUUUGUGAACCUUGUUGGAUAUGUACGCAUGUGUGGACUCGGAACUUAUGGUCCUUUUGUUUGCGAACUAUUGUUGCAUAUGUACGCAUGUGUGGACUUUCGUUGGAUAUAUAUUGCUUGCUGGAUCUAUAUA